CCAAACUUUCACUGGCUGAAGUUUCCAAAACUCCCCUUCUGCUUCCGUGGCAGUAACGUUUGUGAGACUUUCCCCUCUCAGCUGCAGGUGAAGGUGAUCCUUGUGAACGUUCAUAAACAGGAGUCAUUGGGGUUUGAGAUGGGAAGGGACAGACUUUGCUCCCGGGGGACACCGAGGCUCCAGGCAAUGGGUGGCUCUCCCUAAUCACAGCCCGUAUCAGAUGGGUGUGUCCCCUCCGGGCACCACCCAGUGCUGAGUCAGAUGACACCCACAGAAUACAACCUCAUUAAAAACAUUCCUGCAGCCCUGACAGAGCAGGGAGAGCUCCUUGACCUAGGUAGAUAUGACCUGGAGGAGAGAUACCCUCACCUGCUUCAAAGGAUGUUUGGGAUGGCACAGGAGGUGUUUUGGGCGCUACUGGAGGCUGGCUUAGAGAUGAUGAUAUGGGCUUGAGCAUCUCUAAACUCCAGGAUGAAAUUGCCAAGGGGACCUUUCUGCUGAGCUGUCCUUCUGGCCACACAUCCCCCCUGCUCUGAAAAACCCUGAAGAUCUACAAAAUAAUGAGAAAAUAUCACCUGAAAACCUGGAGCCUGUGCAGGAGAACCAGAUGCCCGCUUGCAACCCAACCCAAGGCUUGAGCCUGGAGAAUGGCUUGAAGUGACUCCUUUCCACCACCUCUGCCAGCCUGGCACCACAUCCAUCCCAAAGUCCAGACUUUUGGGCUUUUCUUAAGCAACUCAUCCCUGGAAGUGGUCCAGGGCAGGUUGGAUGGGGCUUGGAGCAGCCUGGGAUCGUGGAAG